GCGAGUGUGGCGGAAUCGGCAGACGCGAUGGUCUCAAAAACCAUUGGGUGAAAGCCCGUAUCGGUUCAAGUCCGAUCACUCGCA
rnacentral:tRNA from 1 species